UACGAAGGGGGCUAGCGUUGCUCGGAAUCACUGGGCGUAAAGCGCACGCAGGCGGAUUGUUAAGUCAGGGGUGAAAUCCUGGAGCUCAACUCCAGGACUGCCUUUGAUACUGGCGAUCUCGAGUCCGGGAGAGGUGAGUGGAACUGCGAGUGUAGAGGUGAAAUUCGCAGAUAUUCGCAAGAACACCAGUGGCGAAGGCGGCUCACUGGCCCGGUACUGACGCUGAGGUGCGAAAGCGUGGGGAGCAAACAGG
rnacentral:rRNA from 1 species